UGGGUGACUGCAUUUUACAAGAAGCACUUGG
rnacentral:piRNA from 1 species